GUUCUCACAAUUCACCUUACUUUGUUGGUCCCUGAACGCAAGGGAGGUGACGAUCAGGUUUCGGUUUGUGUAGAUUAUCGGAUUUGUUGUUUCGCUUCUUCUGUUUGGGUUUGAUUCUAUGCUUUCGAUAUCGAUGGAUUAAGUUUUGUUAUCGUAUGCAUUAGGGUUUGGUGAUGGAUUUUGCUAACCGAUUAAAAGUUGGAUCUAAUGACCUUUGAAGGUUGUGACGAUAUAAAGAACCAGAGAUUGUGUAUAUUUGCAGGCUUGUUUUAUUGGUUCAGAUGAGACCCAAACGACAUCGUGGAUCAUCGUGAAGUAGGUGUUUGGUAUGAAACUGCUAUGAAUUCGAUUGGGAUCUUCUCGUUGUUUUGUAUAGAUAUAAUUUGUUGAUUUGAGGCUGAAGCUCAUCUUUAUUGAUAUGCUUAUGAGUUUUAAUUGGGAUGAUGAAUGCCAGGGCAUCGUGGAUUCAGUACUUAGUUCGGCUUGCGUUUUGAUUUGGACGAAAACCUCAUCGAUUUACCUUCUAUGGGAGACCUUUCGCUUACGUCCUUUAAUUUUGUUCUGAAGUUUAGAAUAUAAUGAUUUGGAAAUUUCCCUCGUUUUUUAUCAAUCAAAUAAGCGGAGCUUUGCUGUUAUUUUUCAGGCCUCGUUUGCAGUGUUUGACACACGAGGGUUAGAUGUUAUGGUUAGCUGAUAACUCGAUAGGUUCUUAUGGGAUCUGAUUGGAUGGCUAUGAGGUUUGAUUUUAUACUGUUUUGCGCUUGCAAUGGGAUGUUGAAUUUCAAAGUUGUCUAUCUGGGUCUAUUGAUUUGCAGCAGAUAUAGUAAUAGUAAUAGUAUUUCCGAUGGCUUUGAGCUUAUGUCUGCACCCUUUUAGUCUAGUGCACUCCAUUUGUAAAGGUUUUCAUUGGUUUGCUGCAUAUGGAUUAUUGUUUUGGGUUACGUGUUCAAGUCCCUGAAAUUUGCAAGUAAUAUCAUGUUUAUGUCGUCCUCCUUUUCCCUAUAAUCAUGCCGAACUUUCUGCUCUUAUAUUGACAGAUACUAAAUCCAGAAUUCAUGGGGUACAUUGUUAACCUUCUUAGUUCUUCCGUUUCAAUUUGAUUCUUGUUUUUUGGGUAUGUUCUAAUCGGGUUUUUAUGUCCUCAACUUUGGCUUUCUAUUGUAUAUAUCUCAGUUGGAAUGAAAUGGUCUAUUCUAAUUUUGUCAUAUCUCAAAGUUUAGUAAUUCUUUUUUCAAAGAUAUAACAUUAUUCAAUGUUUUGAUUACAGACCCGGAGUAUUUCUCACUUACCUCUUUAUUGCCACGUCUUUGAUCAAUAUAUUUUGCUUUAUGGUCUUUAAGCUAUUAAUAAUUACAACCAAAAGUGGUUUGGCGCUUACCUUCUACUUUAUGUUUUUUUUUUAAGUUUAUUCAUUUCUAUGGUAUCAUUGCAUAUAUUUGGGCUUCGAAUUUGUAUAGCAGUGUGGUUAGGUAUUGUCAUGAUGAUUCACUAAUUUUGUGGUUAAAGUGCUUAUGGAGACUAAGUUGGAUGGAGCUAAAAGUUUAUGACACUGCUGUGGGAGCUAUUCUGGUUUGGUUAACAUGUUAAAUCUUUUUCUUUUAAUUUUUAAAUUUUUUGUACAAGUCUCUCUCUUUCCCCCCAAAAUUAAUGUUAGGUACUAUGUAUUUUUCAUGUUUCUUAUGUUGGUUUCGAAUUGGCAUACUAACCAAGGGAGUUUUAAUGCUGUUGCCUUUCGUUUACCAUUUAAAAAUUUUAUUAAAUUUGGUACUGAUACUGUAGUAAUAUCUUAUGUAGAUGCAACCUAAUUCUCGUUUUAGGGACAAAGUUUCACCAGGGAGAACCGGUUUGAGAGCUCAAGGCCGCUGGUUUUGUUUGUUCACAUUCCUUGGUUUCUUAUUUUCGUUACUUGUUCAAUAUCGUGAAUUUUGUGGUCUGUCUUUCCGUUGAUGUCUUGCUUUAGUCCACAUUAUGUAGUGAUUAUGAGGAUUUUGAGCAGUUCGUGGGGUUGCCUUGUUUGGUUAUUUUUGUGUGCAGGAAUUUGGUUUUAACGCUGCAGUUAAUAAAGGAAGUGGAAAUAGUUUAUUGGGAGAACAUGUUAAAUCCUUUGUGUCUCAAGUUUUUUAAACUUUUGUACAAGUUUCUCUCUCUAAUUCCGUCCUUAAUUAAUAUUAUGUAUUUUUCAGGUUUCUUCUGUUGGGUUUGAAUUGGCUUUCUACCUAAGAGGGGGUUAAUGUUGUUGCCAUUUGUUUCCCAUUUCAAAAAUUUAUUACAUUUGGUGCUGUUAUUUUAGCAAUAUCUUAUGUAGAUGCGUCCUAAUUAUUGUUUUAGGGACAAAGUUUCACCUGGGGGCACUGGUUUGAGAGCUCAACGCCGCUGGUUUUGUUUGUUCACCUUCUUUGGUUUCUUAUUUUUGUUACUUGUUCAAUGAAGUGAAUUAUGUGGUCUGUCUUAAAAUGUUCAAUAUCGUGAAUUAUGUGGUCCUGUCUUUCUGUUGAUGUCUUGCUUUCGUACACAUUAUAUAUUGAUUAUCAGGAUUUUGAGCAGUUACUGCAGUUGCCUUGUUUGGUGUUUGUUUUUUUGCAGAAAUUUGGUGGUUGUAGUUUAUGCUGCAGUUAAUAAAGGAAGUGGGAAUAGCUUAUUGGGAGAAUGUGUCGUCGUUUUGGUUUUCAUUCUCCGCUCUUUUAAUGUCCUAAAUUAUUGGGGGAACAUGUUAAAUCUUUUUUCUCUUAUUUAUUUUAAAUUUUUAUUUAUAUAAAUCUCUCUCUCUCUCUCUCUCUCUCUCUCUCUCUCUCAAAAUAUCUCUGUAUUUCACCCCUAAAUUGGUCAGGUAUUAUGUAUUUUUCAGGUUUCUUCUGUUGGGUUUGAAUUGACUUACUACCUAAGAGGGGGUUUAAAGCUUAAUAUCUUAUGUAGUUGCACCCUAGUUUUUGUCUUAGGGACAGAAUUUCACAUGGAUGCACUGGUUUGAGAGCUCAAGGCCGCUGGUUUUGUUUGUACACUUUCAUUGGUUUCUUAUUUUUGUUACUUGUUCAAUAUUGUGAAUUUUUUGGUCUGUCUUUCCGUCGGUGUCUUGCUUUAGUCCACAUUAUGUAGUGAUUAUCAUGAUGUUGAGCAGUUCCCGCAGUUGCCUUGUUUGGUGAUUUUUUGCAGGAAUUUGGUUUUAGAAGUUUACGCCCCAGUUAAAUGGAAGUGGAAAUAGGUUAUUGGGAAUAUAUGUUGGUGUUUUGGUUUUUUAUGAAAUUGUUUCAUUCUCUACUUGUUCAACGUCCUAAAUUUUUGGCAGACCAUGUUAAAUUUUUUUCGUUAAUUUUUUUUAAAUUUUUUUUGAAGUUUAUAUAUAUAUAUAUAUAUAUAUAUAUAUCUCUCUCUCUCUCUCUCUCUCUCUCUCUCUAUUAUAUUUGGUGCUGUUAUUUUAGCAAUAUCUUAUGUAGAUGCACCCUAAUUCUUGUCUUAGGGACAAAGUUUCAACUUGGUGCACGGGUUUGAGUGGAGUUCAAAGACGCUGGUUUUUUUUCACCCUGCUUGGUUUCUUAUUUUUUCUAGGUGUUUCAGUAAUAUUGUGGAUCUUAAUUGGAUUGCUUUGAGCUUAUGUCUGUAGCUUCCAACUCCUUUGAUAAGGUUAUAUGCUUGCUCCUUUACUAGGUCAAAGCGUUUUUUAAGCCUAUGUUGAUACCCAGAAAAUCGUACAUAAAUUCAUGUUAGUGUCUUUCUCUCCUUUUCCCUGUAAUCAGGCUAAAGCUUUUUGCUAUUCUAUUGAAAAAUACUAAAUUGGGAUUUAGGUACAUUUAUUAACCGUUAGUUUAAUAGUCUGAUUUUUUGUCUUCAAUAGUCUGAUUUUUUGUCUUCGAUCUUUUUUUUUUCAUGGUUCAAAGAUAUUAAUAUUAUGAUAUGAUGUCUUGAUUACAGAUGCUGAAUAUCUCAUACUUCUGUGCCGCCAUGUAUUUGUUCGAUAUAUGUUGCUUUAUGGUCUUUAAGCUAUUAUAUAAUUACCGCCAAACAGUGCUUAGCCUUUACGUUGUGUCUUUCUAAGGUUGUCAUUCCAUAUAUUUGGUCUCCCCAAUUGUAUAGCAGCCUGGUUUGACAUUCUCUUGAUAUGAUUCCCUAUUUUCGUGAUUGGUGUGUGUGGAGAAUUGGUUGCAUUUAAAGUAUUACUCUGUUGUGGGGAGCAGAUUCUGGUUUGGUUUCUUAACAAGAACCUGUUAAUUUUUUAAAAACUUAAAUAAAUAAAAAAAAUAUUCUUUCUCUCUCUCUCUGCUCUAUUUUACCCCCUAAAAUGAAUAUUGGGUGCUUUGUCUUUUUCAGGUUUCUUAUGUGGGAUUCUAAUUGACAUACUAUUUAAGAGGGGGUUUAAUUCUUCUUUCCUUCUGUUUUAAUUUCCCAUCUAUAAGGAUUUAUAAGAUUUGGAGCUGUUAUUUAGAAUAUCUGAAGUAGAUGCAUCCUAAUUCUUGUCUCAGGGACAAAGUUUUCCUUGGGGCAUGGGAAUGAAUGGAGCUCAUGGCCGCUGGUUUUGUUUAUUCACCCUGCUUGUUUCUUUUACAUGUUCAAUAUCGGUGAAUUAUGUGGUUGUCUUUCCUUUGAUGUCAUAUGCAGAUGAAUCUCUUGCUUUAGGCUGUCUUUAUGGAGCUGAGUAUCAGGAUUUUGAGUAUCUUCUGCAGUUGCCUUAUUGACCCUGUUUGCUUUCUUAAUUCUGUUACAUGUUCAAUAUCGUGAAUUCCGUGGGUGUUUUUUUCUCGUGUUUUUCUCGUGUCGUAUGCAGAUGCAUUUCUUGCUUUAGUCCGGAGUAUCAGGAUUUUGAGCGGCUUCUGCAGUUGCUCGGUUUGGUGAUUUUUUGCUGGAAUUUUGUUUUAAAGGUUUACACCAGUUAGUUCUUGGCUUAUAAUUUAAUUCUUAUUUCUUUGAUGUCUGGAACAAUUUGUUUAUGCAGAUUGAAAAUAUUGUCUGUCUAUGGAAUCUCACUCUAUGUUGAAUAAAAACAGGCUGCCUAACUAUAAGAGGGGUCUUUUAUCCGAUCUUUUUUAUUCAUACCGUCUGUAUAAUGUGGGGCAUAUUGUCUGCGCUACAUCUCUGCCUGCAGGCGUAUCCUAACUCGUGUCUAUAUACGGUGGUUCUGAGUUAUUAUCUGAUUUUAUAUUCUUGGAGCCCGUAUGUCAUCCUGAGACAUUUUUUGCGCAAUGUCUUUAUAUGCAGACCAUUACACUUGUCUUCUUGUGGGGUCUGAUUCCUUGAAGUAGAACAAGCUGCUUUUAAGAAAGGGUGGUUUGAGUGGUUCUCUGCUUAUGCUUUAACUUCUUACAUGAGCCAUUAUUUGAGUAAUGUUUUCUUUUAGAGUUUGAUGCAUCUUGUGUAUUGGUGAAGAGUUUAUAAGAUCUGGUACCAUUGUUUGAGCAAUAUUCUAUGCAGAUGCAAUUUAACUCGCCUGUGUAUGGAGUCUUACUUUGUUUAAGGAGUGCAGGGGUGCUACUAAGAGUCAAUUUCUUCGCCCUAUUAUUUGAUUUGCUGGUCUUAAGAGAUUUUGCACAAUUUAUUUGAGCAGCGUUUCUAUAUGCAGACACAUCCUAACUCUUGUCCUGUACAUGGAGUCCAACAUUGUUGACGGAGGGGGUUUCUUCCAUGAGGGGGUUUCUUGUCUUAUUAUCUAUUUUCUAUUCUGGAGAUUGUAUGAGAUCUUGGGCCAUGAUUUGCACCAUUACUUUCUAUUCUAUGCAGAUAACCUUGUCUGUAUAUGGGGUCCAACUUUGUUGAAGGAAAUUGCUUUUAAGAGGGAGUUGAGUAGUAUGGCCUUAUGAUUUAAUUUGUUUAUGAGAUUCGACACUUUCAUUGGGCAUUAUUUUGUGCACAUACAUCGUAGCUCUGGUCUGUUUCUGGAUCUUUUUCCUUGGAUGUUGGGCUUUGUUGAUUUUUGUCUUGUGCUCUAAUGUCUCAAUUUUUAAAGGAGUUAUGAGAUGCAUCCUUGUUCUUGUGUGUGAGUGUAACUUAAUUCAUGGCUGGACUAAUCUUAAGGAGGUUAUGCUGCGUCUGAUCUUUGUUGUGGCUCGCUUUUUGGAGGAGGGUUUCUGUAGUUCAAUUUCAACUUAAUGUCAAUUGUGAAACCUCAGGAACAGGUGUCAUGCAGAGUUUUGUUUUCCGUUAUGUAUUCAAUUCAGUAUGUCAUUGUCUCAUGCAGAUGCUCGUUGCUCUAAGUCUUAAGUUAAGUUGAUGAGGAUGAUUUUUCGAGUGACAAUCAGAAUUUGUUGCACCACGCCUGGUUUUUCAUCCACUGCUUUCUUGUUUUCAUGAUACUUACAUUUCUUUUCAAAUGGUGAUAUGUUAUGAUGAUGUCAAUUUUUUUUGCGGUAGUUCAUGGAUUUUCCUGUGCAGAAGUUUUGUAGCUCGGAGUCUUACUUGUAUCUGCAUUGAUUCCUUGAGAAACAGUCUCCACAUUUCGUUUCUUAUUCGUUGUCUUCUUUUAUGGGGUUUAUCGUUCAUGGCUUGAUAGUUCAACAUAUUCUUAUGGUGAUGGGUUCAUUCUUUUCUUUCAACUUAAUUAUAUUCUCUCAAACUUUACUUUUAUUUCUGUUUUUUGAAAGAUAACUUAUUACAGAUUUUGAAUUUCGUGUAGGGGCCUCAAGAUCCUUAAUCUUUUAUGACUCUGCGCCUCUCCCAUUCAUUUCUAUAUUGUGCUGGUCUUUAAUUAAUUCACACAUUUUAAGGUUUGGCAGAUGCUCGUCUUUAUUGGUAUUGCUGUUUUUGUCUGUUUAAAUGUCUGUUUUGUUUGGUUGAAGGUGGAUUCAAUGCAGUAUGUGCAGCUUUGUGCAAUACUUUGGCCAUUCAGGGUUGAUAUUCUUUGGUGCUUCAACUUUUUUUCUCCUAUUCUUUGGCUUUUCAGAAGGGCACUUGUUAAGAUAUUUGGUCAUUCAUUUGAUAUUUUAUUGAUGAGUGUAUAUAAUCUGGCACCACCAUUUGAUCUGAUGCAAUGUGUUUGCAGUUGCAUCCGAACUUGUCUUUUACUGGAGUUGCACUUUGGCAGAGCCUAGAACAUCUCUUUUAAGAGGUGGUUUUAUGUCUUUGCUUGUGAUUUGGUUCUCUGUAGACCAUAAAUGUGGCAUUUUUGAGCAAAUGUAUUAUGCAAAUUCAUUUUGCAUCUUUUUACUUGACUACAUAUUAAUGGAAAAUGGACAUUCAAGCAAACCAACAGAAUCAUGGAUUUGGGCAUGUGCGACAGUCAAGAGGAAUGGGAGUUGCCUUUGUAGAGUGUACGUCUUUCCUUUUGGUCUUGUCUUCAUUGGAAUGUGGACUGCUUAUAGUAGUGUCCUGUUUUUUCUUGGCUUACCAUUCUUCUUGGAUAUUGGGUCUGUAUAUUGUCAGCUUGCUCAUGAGGCUCGGUUGAAUGGGGGAUGCUUUUAAGAGGUGCUGCGGUACUUCUUGGCUUAUGAUUUAUUUUUGUUAGAUUUUAUCAUAUAUGAUUCGCGCAAAAAGUUUUGUGCAGCAACGUUUGUCUUUGGUUUAAGGAGGAGUGGGAAUGUGGUAUUGAGAUUGAUGUCUUUGGAUGCAGUGAAGUAUCAUUGGACCGUAGAGCAGCACUUGCUGACACAUAAACUGAGUAUGACUUUGAUCUUCGUUGAUGGAACUGUUCUUUGAGGGGUCGUGAGAUUUGAUUUUGUCAGCCGAGGUUUACUCAUCGUCAGGUUGACGGGAUUGAUUUGUCAGCUAAAAUGGAUAGGAUGACUUGCUUUCAUUGUCUUUGGAUUUCAGCGUUUAGAUCUUAAUUAGCUUAUCUUCUAUGUCUUGCUCAAUUUUUCCACAAUAUGGGCUGGGGGUUGAUUCUUCCUUUAAUUUAAUUGCUUCUCACAAAAUCUCUUUUCAUAUAUAUAAAUUUUGCUCAUGUACAGGUGCUAAUAUUCAUAUGUACCUUUUCGGAUUUUAUAGUGUUGGAGGUGGUGGUUUGUGGUCUGCUAAAGGGUUUGGCCUUUGUCUUAAACAUGGUGACCUGUUGGCAUCCUUUUGUUCGAGUGCCUGGUUUGCUUUUGCUGUUGCUUUUGUUGUGGCAUAUUACUUUUUUUCCUUUCUGGCAGGCUAAAGUUGCUUAAGUUCGUGAUGGAUCAGUAUGUUGGAUAUUUGAAAUUUCUGGGCAGAGUAGUCCAUUGUAGAAGAAGCAGUCUCAUUCUUUGAGGGCUCCGUUUCAGAUUCAAGUUUAUGCGCAGAGCUGAUAGAACUGUUUUUUUAAACUGCUGAUGGAAAUAGAUGUGGUAUGAAGUGUGUUGUUUCCCUUACCUGUCUUCUUAGUUCCGUCAGCUUAUACUUUUUUCUAUAACUGUUCCUUUAAAUAGUUUUUGUGUUCAUUUGGGUGGCUUGAUAGGAUCUGUCGUUCUUUUCUUCAUUUGGUGCUUCUUAUGUGUAGUCCAACUUAUUGAACAUUGCAAUCUGACACUGUUUCUAUGAUCAAUUUAACAUUUUUAAAGCAUUUGAGUAUUAAUUAAAUUGUUAUUUGUUGGUAUCAAGUUAGACAUUUUGAACUUUGGUGUGUUUUUCAUAUUUAUGUCCUUAUUAGUUGCUGUGUGUGUCUCUUUUAUUGGUUCAAUAAUGCCUGGGGUCGAGCGUCAUUCGACUAUUCCGAGCUGGUUACAAAGAGAUGAUAGGGAUGAGAGAUUACAUUUAAUGUAAUACUUAUCUCUAAUUUAUGUAAUGCACUGAAAGAAUGUAGUUCUGGUUUGUCAUUUUGGAAUGAGCCCUUUACGUAGAUUGCUUAUUCUGGGAGAGAAUUUUUGUCUUUCUUCUGUUAAAAGGUGAUGCAACAUUUCUCUUGAAGUAGUUUUUCUUUUUGGAUAUUUGAAGUAUAUUUGUUAUAUCGAAGUUGCUUGGCUUUUGCAUAUAGGGUCGGAGAUUUUGGAGUUCUUUGGACAUUUGAACUAUGACAUUGUUCUGUUGUCUAUCAAUUGUAUAAUGUCAACUUCUUGGUAGCUUUUUCUCUUUUAGAUUUGUGUGGCUUUUAGUAUGAUGGUUAUGUGCAUUGCUUAGUUUUUAGCUGCUGUCUGUUGUGUGUAAUUUGUGUGUAGUUAGUUAGGUUUUAAGGGAUGUAGCUCAAAAUGGUAGAGCUCUCAGCUUGUAACCUGUAUGAACAAGUUACAAGACGAUCAAGGUUCAAAUCCUUGCGUCCCUGCACAUUAACAUAUUUGAUAGUUUAUGACCUGCCUGUGGAUGGAUUGAAAGAUUCUAAACCCUUGCCUGUGUAUCUGUGGUUGCUGUUGAGCGGAUGCUGUAACUGACUAAAAUGAUGGUUUGGAUGAUCUGUGGACUUGAGAACCUGAAUUGGCUGGUUUUCCGGUUUACCACAAGAUGUGGUUUUAUUAUGUAAAAGCUUCAGAAAGCUCAAGUUUGUAAUACGAGUUAUGUCAUCUUCAGACUUGUUUGAUGAGAUAUCACUGUCUUUAUCUCUCUUGAUCUUCUAGUUGUAAGCCAACCUCUGCUUCUCUAAUUCGUGUUUCUCAUUUAUUCAUUUCAUACACUUUCUCACGUACAGCUUCACAUUUGUAUCAAAAAGGAAACAAAAUUACCUUAAGGGAUAGGACUGUAGAAGAUCCAAACCAAUCCACUAAAACCGACUAGUCCAAUUCAAUUCAAUUCAA